rnacentral:lncRNA from 1 species
AUGUCUAAAUCAGAGUCUCCUAAAUAGCCCGAACAUCUGAGGAAGCUCUUCAUUGGAUGGUUGAGCUUUGAAACAACUGAUGAGAGCCUGAAGAGCCAUUUUGAGCAAUGGGGAACGCUCACGGACUGUGCGGUAAUGAGAGAUCCAAACACCAAGCGCUCCAGGGGCUUUGGUUUUGUCACACAUGCCACUGCAGAAGAGGUGGAUGCAGUCAUGAAUACAAGGCCACACAAGGUGGAUGGAAGAGUUGUGGAACCAAAGAGACCUGUCUCAAGAGAAGAUUAUCAAAGAUCAGGUGCCCGCUUAACUGUGUAAAAGAUAUUUGUUGGUGGCAUUAAAGAAGACACUGAAGAACAUCACUUAAGAUAAUAUUUUUGAACUGUAUGGAAAAAUUAAAGGGAUUGAAAUCAUUACUGACCAAGACAGUGGCAAGAAAAGGGGCUUUGCGCUUGUAAACUUUGACGACCAUACCGUUACUGGGAAUGACCACAACUAUGAAGUUAGGAAAGCCCUGUCAAAGCAAGAGAUAGCUAGUGCUUCAUCCAGCCAAAGAGGUCGAAGUAGUUCUGGAAACUUUGAUAGUGGUCUUGGAGUUGGUUUCAGUGGGAAUGACAACUUUGGUUAUGGAGGAAACUUCAGUGGUCUUGGUGGCUUUGGUGGCAGCUGUGGUGGUGGUGGAUAUGGUGGCAGUGGGGUUGGCGAUAAUGGAUUUGGUAAUGAUGGAAGCAAUUUUGGAGAUGGUAGAAGCUACAAUAUAUUUGGCAGUUACAACAAUAGGUCUUCAAAUUUUGGACCUAUGAAGGGAGGAAACUUUGGAGGCAGAAGUUCUGGCCUCUAUGGUGGUGGAGGCCAAUCCUUUGACAAACCAUGAAACCAAGGUUGCUAUGGCGGUUCCGGUAGCAGUAGUAGCUAUGGCAGUGGCAGAAGAUUU